GAUGGCAGUCUGAGAGGGGCAAAGUGUCAGGAGCUCAAGGCAUUGGUUUAAAAGAAUUGUGUCUUUGUCAUUGUCAGGCUGUGGCUGGUCCCAUGUCUUGGUCCCAACGAGGCCUUUGGUGUUACAAAAUGCAAAACACGAGGUAACCAAAUAGCAUUUCCAUGGAAAGAGCCCAGGAACUCUGGUGCUGUGCGCAGCAGCCCUGGAGGGGAUGUGGUAUUAUCUCCAUCUGCAGAUGAGAAAACAGAGGCUCAGAGAUGGUAGAUCACCCGUGGUGGGCAUACUUCCCUCUGAGGAAUGGGAAACUGGCGAUGAUUUUUGUAAAAGGGAAUGACCCAGUUGCUUUUUGAAAAGGCUGCACACAUGAGGAAGUAUCGAAUAGAAGAUAUGUGUACAAAAUUCUGGCACAACUGUGACUAAUAUGCAGUUCAGCAGUCCUGCCAUUGGUCCAGGUUUGCUCAGCACGGAGGCACCCAGAUGCCAUGGCAACAGGCAUUAUCAGAGUGUCCCCCACCAAUCUGCUAGAACAGUUGUCAACGUGAGACCUCCCACACAGAACUCAGGUGCCCCCUUCAGAGACUCGGAAGCUUCUCCACAGACGAUAAUGGAGAUGCCCAGGAAAUUAAGCUGAUCGAAAACUUGGAAGAUUUUGGAAAUUAGCCUUUAGUGGGGAGUGGGGUAAAAGGUAAGAUAAUACUUAUUCACCCUAGUUCCU